AGUGAACGCUGGCGGCAGGCCUAAUACAUGCAAGUCGAACGGCAGCACAGCAGAGCUUGCUCUGUGGGUGGCGAGUGGCGGGACGGGUGAGGAAUACGUGGGAAUCUGCCCAGUCGUGGGGGAUAACGUAGGGAAACUUACGCUAAUACCGCAUGCGCCCUUCGGGGAAAGCCGGGACCUUCGGGCCUGGCGCGAUUGGAUGAGCCCACGUCGGAUUAGCUAGUUGGCGGGGUAAAGGCCCACCAAGGCGACGAUCCGUAGCUGGUCUGAGAGGAUGAUCAGCCACACUGGAACUGAGACACGGUCCAGACUCCUACGGGAGGCAGCAGUAGGGAAUAUUGGACAAUGGGCGGCAAGCCUGAUCCAGCCACUGCCGCGUGAGUGAAGAAGG
rnacentral:rRNA from 1 species